rnacentral:rRNA from 1 species
UACAGAGGUCUCAAGCGUUGUUCGGAUUCAUUGGGCGUAAAGGGUUCGUAGGCGGCGCGGUAAGUCGGGUGUGAAAUCUCGGAGCUUAACUCCGAAACUGCAUUCGAUACUGCCGGGCUUGAGGACUGGAGAGGAGACUGGAAUUUACGGUGUAGCGGUGAAAUGCGUAGAUAUCGUAAGGAAGACCAGUGGCGAAGGCGGGUCUCUGGACAGUUCCUGACGCUGAGGCACGAAGGUCAGGGGAGCAAACGGG